rnacentral:pre_miRNA from 1 species
UUUAAACAGAACCAUGAGUUUUCUGUCUAACUUUGAUCAUCGUCUUAUUUAGAAUUUUUUUUUAUGAUUAGUGUUUUUAUUGUUAUUCGAUGAUAAAACAUAAAUAGUGAUUUAUGCAUGACAUAUUUUUUUUUAAAAAAAAUAUUUUUAAAAUAAAACGGAAGAUUAAAGAUGGAAUUCCAACUUUAAACGGACG